UGGAGGUGUGCCGUGGUGUUGGGUUCCCCAAAGUGUUCGUCACUCGGUCGUGUGUUCUCGCAGAGCUUUGCUUCGGCCCAAAGUCUAUUUUUUCAUAGAAGUAUAUACAUGAGAAUCUGUUUAUUUUGCAGAGAAGGAAGGUUUGUUGUAUGUGUUCGGGUAGAAAGAUGAGAUCAUUUACGCCAAAAACAAGGUUUUAUCGACGACGAGAGAGAUGAAAAAAAGCUACGGAUUUUAUUUGCAUUUUGAUCUGCAAAAGAAAAACUACAAAUUUCAACACAGAAUCCUUCUCUUGAGCCGAUAACCGAGCUCCGGCCGGGCGGUUAGAAACCCGGUUAUACUGCUCGGUGGUCUCAGUGGAUCGCCGUGUGCGCCGAAGCGAAGGACGAGGAGGCGAGACGACGGUUAAAUAUAUCCUGAUUUAUGUUCUUUGUGUUCUUUCUCCCUGUGACGACUGUGUGGACGUUUAGUUGUAGCUUCUCCGUCCAACAGACCAGCGGAGCAGCUUCACCCUCAAGUGACGUGAGAAUAAAAAAAGCAGAAAUAUAAGAAAGUUGAUGAUGACAAACAGAAAUAUUUAGGAAUUCAUUUCCAUUUAGGCCAAUAACAUCCUGAGCAACAGCUUCAGAGCACUGACGGAAACCUGUCGUACACAUGAAGCUUCUCAUUUGGAGUUAAAAUUAAUAUAAAAUAAUGUACUGGAACAUUUCUACAGUUCUAAUGCAAAUGUAAUUUACUGAAAGUAUAUUUCUAACAUCCAGACAGCGUCCCUUAAAGACAUUUAUUAUCUCGAUCCUACAAGAUUAUUAUUGUGAACAAAAGAAUAAAAAAAGAUUUUGGGGACUUUUGGGUUUCCGUACGUUUGGGCUACAACCACAUCAAUUAGUAAAUAAAUUAUAUAAAUAUGUAUAAACGUGAUCGAGGAGACGCUAAACUACCGUAACAUCAUUCAAAAUGUGAUGUUCGUGGUGUCAGAUCUAAACCAAAUGUUCAAAUAUGAAGCUGGUUUCUUGCUAAAAAUCCUGUUCUAUUCAUUAGUUUUAAAUAAAAUAGUAUUUAAUGCAAUUCUAAAAGUUUGGUAUUUUGGGGAAAGUUAUGAAACUUUUCUGUUGGAGAGUUUGAAAAUAAACAUGGUGCAACUCCCCAAUCUGUUAGCUAAGAAGCUAGCUCCUGAGCUGAUUAGCUUAGCUUUGGAAUUAGCUUAGAAAUCACUUGCUUGGCUCAAAAUUAUAACUAGCAGCUCCUAAAGAAGGCUCGUUAAAUUUAAUUAAUUAGAAAAAACGAACCAAAAAAACCCCAGAAAAAUUCUAAACGGCAACAUUUUUGUCAAUAACUUCGAGUCAAAUAAAUCCAGGAUGAGUUUUUAUUCCACGUUUGUUCUGAUCAAACGAUAAAGAAGCAGCACGUGAUGCGACGCUAGCAGUUUCCCCCCGUUUCCAUCCUUUAUGCUAAGCUACGCUAAUCGCCCCGGGCUCCAUAGCUGCACACAGACUCCUUUUAUCCAAGUUUAUCAGUUAUUUGUAAAAGAUCAAGCUGGUAAACCCACAUUUUGCUGCUUUGUGGAUUCUCUCAGAUCUGAUCCCGGUCGGUCACUUGAGGGCGAAGCGUCGCUCGGCGGUAAACACGGAACACGUUGUCGUGAUGUACAAAGCUAAUCUGACAUCAUCUCGAUAAUCCCUCCGACGAACAUCCGACAUGAUUCGGCUGCUUCCAGGAGGAGGAGACGACGAAACCGGACGCGUUACUUUGGCUGUUACAGCCGCCGAUGUAAUAACGACGGUAACCGUGGUGAUGUUCAUCGUUGUGGUUUCUUUGUGUUUUCUUUUUUUUUUUUUUUUUCCUCUUUGGGUUCUCUGUAAUAGAUAAAUGUGACGCUGCGGUGUGUUUUUGAACUGGGAUGGAAAAGAGAACAAAAACAAAAGUGAAGGAGCUUGUGUUAGAGGGCAGGAUGAUGGUGGUGAUGUUCACAGGGAAAGGCUGCCUCCGCUUACCGAAGCCUGCCGGAGUCGCUGCUGCAGCGACCGACGCCGUCACCACGGGGGUUUUAGAACCAGAACGGGGACGAUCUGUCCACAGCUGUAAGAAAAGACAAACGAAGACUUUGCUUUAUGACGCUGGGGGACACUGAAAACGCUCGGACGCACACAAAUGAGCUAGCAUGCACGUUUAGCGCACGUUUUAUCGAGCUAUUGCAACAGCAGGUGCGACCCGACCCGCACUGGGCAUCGUUUGAACUAAAAACAGAAGCACGAAGGCCAGAAGAAGCUAAAAGUAGGCGACACAUGAAACCUGCAGCUGUUCUCAGGAGCAGAUUUGGUUCAAACUGCUGCUCUUCUUGGGUAAUAACAGAUUUUUAGGACGCAGCAUUUGCAAACUGUCACUGACGAUGACGUUAGCUUGAGUCACGCAAACUCACAAUCCGAAGCUCAGUUUAGCAGCAUUUCCAAACAUGGUUCUCCUGCAGAUCCAGGUGCAUCCUGAGCGUCGCGUUCGUCGCCCUCGAACUCGCUGCAGCGUCGACGCUCCUCGCAGGCUUCGGCUUCGAGCGGUGGCUGUGACUCCAGUGCAGUAGUUCAGUGCCUAUACUAAAUGUGAGGUAGUGCCUCGACUAUGAAUCCUGUUCUAUAAUAAACUAUUUUGACUUGCUGUCUGA